rnacentral:rRNA from 1 species
GGGGGGAUGCCUCAGUACGGCGAGUGAAGCGGCAACAGCUCAAAUUUGAAAUCUGGCCCUAGGCCCGAGUUGUAAUUUGCAGAGGAUGCUUUUGGUGCGGUGCCUUCCAAGUUCCCUAGAACGGGACGCCAGAGAGGGUGAGAGCCCCGUACAGUUGGACACCAAGCCUUUGUAAAGCUCCUUCGACGAGUCGAGUAGUUUGGGAAUGCUGCUCAAAAUGGGAGGUAUAUUUCUUCUAAAGCUAAAUACCGGCCAGAGACCGAUAGCGCACAAGUAGAGUGAUCGAAAGAUGAAAAGCACUUUGAAAAGAGGGUUAAACAGCACGUGAAAUUGUUAAAAGGGAAGCGCUUGUGACCAGACUUGCGUCCGGUGAAUCACCCAGCUCUCGCGGCUGGGGCACUUCGCCGGCUCAGGCCAGCAUCAGCUCGCUGUCGGGGACAAAAGCUUCAGGAACGUAGCUCUCUUCGGGGAGUGUUAUAGCCUGUUGCAUAAUACCCUUCGGCGGGCUGAGGUACGCGCUCCGCAAGGAUGCUGGCAUAAUGGUCAUCAGCGACCCGUCUUGAAACACCGGACCGC